UGCGGAACCGUGCGGUGGCGC
rnacentral:miRNA from 1 species